AGAUUUUAGAUAACCGCCUUGAUGACAGCUUUGGACACUCUUGGCUUUCUCUCAACCAGCUCAUGAGAGCGAGAGAGGGACCAAGAUAUUGACUGAUUGGAAAGUCUGUGGGCGAACGAUGAGUUACCCAUUGUGGGCAGGACGAAUGAGAUGGAGGACAGCAUUUACUGCAGAUGUAAACUGGAUGUCAUGAUUCAGCAUAGCCUAUCCAUGAGUGUGCUUCUGCUGGAGGUGCUCCCACAAGCAGCUGAUAGACCUGUUCAGAGAGAAUGUGGAAGACUGCGUAGCCAACAGCAGCCCAGGCCAUCCUGGCCAGCCCCUCAUACAGGUUAACACAAAGACGCAGGAUGGAGUUAAUUGAUACAUUCCCGAGUAAGGUUGCUAGGUAAUUGGUGUUGCUAAACGUACACUGGGUUUCUCUUUCCAAGACGUUGUUUGUGAGUUUCCAUGUACAGUGAGCUCAGUGUAGGGGAAAUCCAAUUCCUCUGUUUUGGUACAGUGAGAUGGAGAGUGGGGCAUGCGGUUGUUAGCUAUUCUAAGGUACCCUUGUAUCACUCACUACUAGAUGUCAGAGAUUGGGAUUCCAUUCCGUCAUUUACUUCCACAUAGAGGGUUUAGGUAAUAUGUAGAGCAGGGGUGUCAAACUCAUUUUGGCCCGCAGGUCGCAUUCGGUCUUCACCGAGGUCUGGAUGGCCGCACAUAAAAUGUAUUAUAUUUUCUCGCCAUAAAAAUUUGCAAACAAUAUCCUCUAUCCCAGGGUUUCCUAAACUCGGGUCCUGGGGACCCCCUGAGUGCACUGUUUUUUGCCCUAGCCCUACACAGCUGAUUCAAAUAACCUUGAUGAUGAUUUGGUUAUUUGAAUCAGCUUUGUAGUCAUUGGGUAAAAUCCAAAACGAGGGCUCCAGGACUGAGUUUGGGAAACCCUGCUCUAUCCAUUGCUUCUAGAAUUUCCAAUGCUCCCUGGUUGUCUAGCUUUCGUUUUGAUUACUGUUAGCAAGCUAGACAGCAUGAAGAGACUGUAAAUAUAGGUUCAUUUUAAUUUCUACACAGUUUCCAUUUGGUUUUAGUCAUUUCCAUUUCGAUUGAGAUUGUUUUUCCCCCAAAACAUAUUUUUCUAAUCAAAAUAAUUGAAAGGGUUCCGUAUGUUUGACACCUUAUUAAGGGAAGAACCCAAUGUAUAACAGUAGUUAGUCAUCCUCUUUUUGUGCAUUGGAAUUGCUUGCAUGUUUUAUUAGCUACUUUUCUUUGUCAUUAAGCCAGAGGGUGCAAUAUAAUCAUUAUGUAUUUGAUGAGAAACUCUGCUUUGCAGAAACUGGUCUGAUUCAGGACUUGGUGAGUACUUGACAGAUUACCAAAGAUGGGGUGAUUUAUUAUACGUUUGGAAAAGCGAUGCAGUGAUGCUGCAGUCCUUCCACACACCCACAGGACUACCACUCAGGUUGAUGUGUAACCUUCUUGUUUGGUUUUGAUCUCUAUCUGUCAUAUCUGCAACACUGCUGUAACGGUUGCUACUGAAGAAACAAAGUGGGCGAGCCACGUCACAUACAGUAGAGUGAAAUUCCUACUUCAAAAGGUCAUCAGUCAAAAUGAAGACAGGUAGUCAAAUCGGUUGUGGCUAGAUAGCCUACAUUAUGGAGUUCCAUGUUGCUAAGUAAUAGCUCAUACAGUAACUAAACUAAGCCAUUUUCUCAGAUCUGCUGGUCAUACCUUUUUUGAUGAUACUUUUUGAUGCAGAACGAGAUAUUUGCUUUUCCCUCUAAGUGAAAACAAGUUGUAAUUCAACACAUAACAAAUCAAAAUGUUCUACUUAUUAUUCAUAUAAUAAAAACGUAAAGCAAAAAAAAAAUCCAUCUCCUCCUAAAGAGAUACAUUAAGUAACUCAUCCAGUCUCUGUGCUUCUAAUUCUUAACUACACAGGAUGUCCCUGUGGACUAUUCUACUGGCAGGAACAAGUUAAAAGUAGAGAACUCUCAUCUGGUUUGAGUCAGAGCCCUGCAUUACCAACAGAGUUUAGGCGGUGAGGGUGAUUUCUGUAACGUGCAGUACUGUAGGCCUCUUUUGGUUUUGAUCGAAGGCCCAAACAGGCCAGGAAAUUGGGCUAAUCCCAGGUCUGAGAGGCACACGGGGACGUGAUCUUAGCGAUGGCUCGUGGACUCAACCACAUCAAAGAGUCCUGCUCAUGGGUAAAAGGGACUGACUGACUGAUGAAGGGACGAGCCAUGGCUUAAAGUCACUUAGGGAGUUGCUGGAGCUUCAAAGACUCAUCGCUGAGCACGCAACAGAUACAUAGACGCCGCAGAGAGAGACGGAGAGAGAGA